rnacentral:rRNA from 1 species
CGGCGGACGGGUGAGUAAUGCCUAGGAAUCUGCCUGGUAGUGGGGGACAACGUUUCGAAAGGAACGCUAAUACCGCAUACGUCCUACGGGAGAAAGCAGGGGACCUUCGGGCCUUGCGCUAUCAGAUGAGCCUAGGUCGGAUUAGCUAGUUGGUGAGGUAAUGGCUCACCAAGGCGACAUCCGUAACUGGUCUGAGAGGAUGAUCAGUCACACUGGAACUGAGACACGGUCCAGACUCCUACGGGAGGCAGCAGCG